UCCUCUGCUAGCCUCAAGCUCAGGGCUCAGAGCAACACUUAUCACUUAAUUAUAGCAAAUAACAAAUCUUGAAAGAUAGGCAGUUAAAGGCAGUUAAAGAGAGAUAGAUCUAAGUUUAAGGUAAGACGAAGGCAGUUAAAGAAAAACACUAUAUAAAUAAACAGAUGAGGACUUAAUUACUCAUGCAUUCUAAGACCAACAAAACCCUCAUAAGAAAAUCUCAUAUAUAAAUUCCUGGAUGAAAGAAUAAAAAUAAACCUACAAUAUAAUUGAAAAUAAACUGUUAGAGCAAUUUAGACUUGAC